GACAUUUUGCCACACUUUCACAGGGCAUACUUCCUCUCGGCCGGCUGCCUCCCCGGGGCCAUCUGUGACAUCUGAGCCAUCUGGCCUGAAUGCUCUCCCAGAACGAGAAUUUCACGGUGAAGUGCUCAGAACUUAUAACAUCAUAAAACUAACCGUACAACAGAUAGCAAGCUCCAUGGACACGUCACUUGCCGCUUGUAGAACUGCCUCAGCACCUUGCUCCGCUAGUCUCAAGCCCCUUCGAAGAUGUGGAUGCCUUGAUGGAGUUCGAGAAGUCACUUACUAAGGAAAAUGAAGACGUCCUGAUCAGCGAGCUGAUCCAGCUUGGUGGCGUGAACCCAAACAUCGCAGUGAAGCGCAUACUCAUAUAUCUUUUUGCUGACUCCUUGGCUGCCCAAUUUUCCCGGCAUGGCAAGAAGGGGAAAAGGAAAUUUUCAGAACUCAAACUGUGCCAGUGCCUGUUCAGUGCUAUAAGGAAACGUUUCCCAAGCAGCACAAGGGAUGACGUCGAGAGCAGCGCGAAGUCAUGGCUCCGCCACGCCCCAGAGAGGGCUUAUGGCAAAGGCAGCGAAAAUUGAAAACAGUGUUGUCAAGUUGCAGACCUCAGCUCCAAGACAAAAGUGUGAUGCAGGCGACUUGUCGCAGCCUUCUUCGAAAGCGCGGAGCACAAUCUCAUGGACACCACCGCCAUCUCGUUGUUGACUCUGCUUCUCAUUUCUUCUCAUCUGCCAACUUCGUCAUCACUACAGUAACAUUCCUAAAUUUUGUCGCGCAUUGCUGUAGGCACGAGCUCUUGAGCCUGGUCAUUGCCAUUUUUUGUAGUUCCAACCUCGAUACCACAGUGGCAGAAACUGCAAGAUUUUAGCCACCAUAACUUAACGCCAAGCCUGCACCAACAUGCGCGUAGCUGUGUGCAGUGUUUCUAUGUAUUUCUUUUUGCUAACCGUGUAAAAUACCAUUGUUUCAAUCAUGUGGCCACUGUAGAGCCAAAAUCACAAAAUCUGAAUGACAUCCAAGUUCACAAAAUAGCUACUUAAGUUCGAGAAAAAAGUAGCACUCCGCAGCAAUAAGUUUUUAUCGUUGACAAUUUUUAGCACGGAAGGUGGACAAAGGGUUGAGAGCUACUAACCUGGUUUUACUCUUUCUAAACAUGACAUGACUAGAGGCAAUAGGCCUGGCCAUUAUCAGCGUCAUUGUUCUGAUGAUUUUCUGAUUGAUGAUUGAUGUUCUGUGACUACAGUUUUUCUGUUAUUUUAUGCACCUAUUGUAACCCUGUCAGUAAUGCUUUUAAGCAUCGUUGCAUCAUUUUGGUACCGUAGAAACCGCAAUAUAGGUCGGACCGGAUUAUAGGUUGACCCCCCGACUUUUAACUACUGAAAAUCGAAAAUAAAGUACAUGGUGUGGUCAAAGUAUCAGAACGCACGCUUACUGUGAAACGCAAAUUGAAAUGGUGCACAGUGAUAACGCCAUUUAUUUAGGUGUGUUUUUACACGCAAGUUCCACAUGGCAGAAAGCCAAAGGAUGGGCUCAAACACUACCUUCGUGAAACGUCACAACCACCAUGACAGCGUUAAUUUGAAUGCAUUUUGAGGUCAGCGGUAGCACAAUCACGAUGGGAGCACGGCUCCCUGAUCAACUUUGGAACAUUCGUCUCGAGCUCUGGACACUGCGGUUUGGGACCACAACAGUUUUCUUCGGAUCGCUGCUAUCAUGAUGUAAUCCUUCCCCCUCCGCCAGUAGCGAAUGCUUCUGUGGUGCACUCGAUCUGCCCGCUGAUUGCAGCCAUACGUGCCGCUGUAACCAGAGCUGCCGGCAUUGCAGGAAGCAACAAAGAAAAAGUAUCCGGCGAGAACACCCGUGCAAAGAUAAACUUUCAGUCAUUGUUUGUGACUCACGGCUCCUACUCGCGUUCACGUGCGCUAGCAUCCGCGCUAGCACUCGCAAGAGAAGUUUAAAAAAAAAGGGUAGAUCAGUCGGAUAAGCGCAAAUAAUUCUUUUUUGCUACAUUUAUCUUUGUACUCAUUUCUCAUCACUGGCUGUGUGUUGCUAGCUGUGUUCUAAGUCAUUAGUGAAGUUUAAGUGCAAGUGCUAUUGAUUUCUACUGUGCAGUGCGUUCUUAAUGACAGCUGUGAUCUAGUUCAGUAUUCAGAGUUGCAGCUUUUAAGUGAACGUUUAUCUUCUUAUUUUAUUUGUGUCACAGCUGCCUUACUGCCUGACAACUGUUUUGAUGUUCCUAGAUUUUUUGGAGGUGGUCCUUGUACCUACUCUCUUAACAGUG
rnacentral:lncRNA from 1 species